rnacentral:rRNA from 1 species
AGUGAACGCUGGCGGCAGGCCUAAUACAUGCAAGUCGAACGGCAGCACAGCAGAGCUUGCUCUGUGGGUGGCGAGUGGCGGACGGGUGAGGAAUACGUGGGAAUCUGCCCAGUCGUGGGGAUAACGUAGGGAAACUUACGCUAAUACCGCAUGCGCCCUUCGGGGGAAAGCCGGGGACCUUCGGGCCUGGCGCGAUUGGAUGAGCCCAGUCGGAUUAGCUAGUUGGCGGGUAAAGCCCACAAGGCGACGAUCCGUAGCUGGUCUGAGAGGAUGAUCAGCCACACUGGAACUGAGACACGGUCCAGACUCCUACGGGAGGCAGCAGUAGGGAAUAUUGGACAAUGGGCGCAAGCCUGAUCCAGCCAUGCCGCGUGAGUGAAGAAGGCCCUCGGGUGUAAAGCUCUUUGUCCGG